rnacentral:lncRNA from 1 species
AUGAAAUUUAUUCAGUCUUUCUCAAGUUCUAUAUUUUUUGUUUUUUUACUCUAUUUUGUGUUUUCUGUCUUUUUUUCCAAAGGUCAUUUAUUUUCUUGUCUUUGUACAUUUUCUGAUUUGAGUAUAAUGCUUUCGGUUUUUCCCUUCUUCCAGCACCAGCAGACGUUUCUGAAUCAACUACGAGAAAUUACAGGGAUUAAUGAUGCCCAGAUUCUACAGCAAGCCUUGAAGGAUAGUAAUGGAAACUUGGAGCUAGCAGUGGCUUUCCUUACUGCAAAGAAUGCCAAGACCCCUCAGCAGGAGGAGACCACUUACUACCAAACAGCGCUUCCUGGCAAUGACAGAUACAUCAGUGUGGGCAGCCAAGCAGAUACAAAUGUGAUUGAUCUUACUGGAGAUGAUAAAGAUGAUCUUCAGAGAGCAAUUGCCUUGAGUUUGGCGGAAUCAAACAGGGCAUUCAGGGAGACUGGAAUAACUGAUGAGGAACAAGCCAUUAGCAGAGUUCUUGAGGCCAGCAUAGCAGAAAAUAAAGAAUGUUUGAAGAGGACACCUACUGAAGUUUGGAGAGAUUCUCGAAACCCUUACGAUAGAAAAAGGCAGGACAAAGCUCCUGUUGGACUAAAGAAUGUUGGCAAUACUUGCUGGUUUAGUGCUGUUAUUCAGUCAUUAUUCAAUCUUUUGGAAUUCAGAAGAUUAGUUCUGAAUUACAAGCCUCCAUCAAAUGUUCAAGAUUUACCCCGAAACCAAAAGGAGCAUCGGAAUUUGCCUUUCAUGCGUGAGCUUCGAUAUCUAUUUGCACUUCUUGUUGGUACUAAAAGGAAAUAUGUUGAUCCAUCUAGAGCAGUUGAGAUUCUUAAAGAUGCUUUCAAAUCAAAUGACUCCCAGCAGCAAGACGUGAGUGAGUUUACACACAAAUUAUUAGAUUGGUUAGAAGAUGCCUUCCAAAUGAAAGCUGAAGAAGAGACGGAUGAAGACAAGCCAAAGAACCCCAUGGUAGAGCUGUUCUAUGGAAGAUUCCUAGCUGUGGGAGUGCUUGAAGGUAAAAAAUUUGAAAAUACUGAAAUGUUUGGUCAGUACCCACUUCAGGUCAAUGGAUUCAAAGAUCUACAUGAAUGCCUAGAAGCUGCUAUGAUUGAAGGAGAAAUUGAGUCUUUACAUUCAGAAAAUUCAGGAAAAUCCGGUCAAGAGCAUUGGUUUACUGAACUACCACCUGUGUUAACAUUUGAAUUGUCAAGAUUUGAAUUUAAUCAGGCACUGGGAAGACCAGAAAAAAUUCACAAUAAAUUAGAAUUUCCUCAAGUUUUAUAUCUGGACAGAUACAUGCAUAGAAACAGAGAAAUAACAAGAAUUAAGAGGGACGAGAUCAAGAGGCUAAAAGAUUACCUCACAGUAUUACAACAAAGACUUGAAAGAUAUUUAAGCUAUGGUUCGGGUCCCAAACGGUUUCCCUUGGUGGAUGUUCUGCAGUACGCCUUGGAAUUUGCCUCAAGUAAACCUGUUUGCACUUCUCCUGUUGAUGAUAUUGAUGCUAGUUCCCCAUCUAGUGGUUCCGUACCAUCACAGACAUUACCAAGCACAACAGACCAACAGGGAGCUCCUUCUUCAGAACUGCCAAGCACGUCACCCGUGUCAAUAGCUGCCAUUUCAUCAAGAUCAGUAAUACACAAACCAUUCACUCAGUCCCGGAUACCUCCAGACUUGCCCAUGCAUCCGGCACCAAGGCACAUAACAGAAGAAGAACUCUCUGUGCUGGAAAGCUGUUUACAUCGCUGGAGGACAGAAAUAGAAAAUGACACCAGAGAUUUACAGGAAAGCAUAUCUAGAAUCCAUCGCACAAUUGAGCUAAUGUACUCUGACAAAUCUAUGAUCCAAGUUCCUUAUCGUUUACAUGCUGUUUUAGUUCAUGAAGGUCAAGCUAAUGCCGGGCACUACUGGGCAUACAUUUUUGAUCAUCGUGAAAACAGGUGGAUGAAGUACAAUGAUAUUGCUGUAACAAAAUCAUCGUGGGAAGAGCUAGUGAGAGAUUCUUUUGGUGGUUACAGAAAUGCCAGUGCAUACUGUUUAAUGUACAUAAAUGACAAACCACAAUUCUUAAUACAAGAGGAGUUUAAUAAAGAAACUGGGCAGGCCCUUGCUGGAAUAGAAACACUACCCCCCGACUUAAGAGAUUUUGUUGAGGAAGACAACCAGCGAUUUGAGAAAGAACUAGAAGAAUGGGAUGCACAACUUGCUCAGAAAGCCUUGCAGGAAAAACUUCUAGCAUCUCAGAAACUGAGAGAGUCUGAGUCUUCUGUGACAACAGCACAAGCAGGAGAACCAGAAUAUCUAGAGCAGCCAUCAAGAAGUGAUUUCUCAAAGCACUUGAAAGAAGAAACCAUUCGAAUAAUUACCAAGGCAUCACAUGAGCAUGAAGAUAAAAGUCCUGAAACAGUUUUGCAGUCGAAACCUGAAAAUACCACAAGCCAGCCACCUUCUAAGCAGCAAGUUGUAGAGGUGGAGAUUCCUCAUGUAGGGACAUUUAUGAUUGAGUCAAAGGAGGGGGGUUAUGAUGAUGAGGCAAUUAAGUUGGAAUAUUCAAGGUUGGUUAAAUUGGCCCAAGAAGAUACCCCACCAGAAACAGACUAUCGUUUACAUCAUGUAAUAGUCUACUUUAUCCAGAAUCAGGCUCCAAAGAAAAUCAUUGAGAAAACAUUGCUAGAACAAUUUGCAGAUAGAAAUUUGAGUUUUGAUGAAAGGUGUCACAACAUAAUGAAAGUUGCUCAAGCCAAAAUUGAAAUGAUAAAACCUGAAGAAGUAAACAUGGAGGAGUAUGAGGAGUGGCAUCAGGAUUAUAGAAAAUUCAGGGAAACAACCAUGUAUAUCAUUAUUGGGCUAGAAAAUUUUCAAAGAGAAAGUUAUAUAGAUUCCUUGCUAUUCCUUAUCUGUGCUUAUCAGAAUAACAAGGAACUGUUGUCCAAAGGCCCAUACAGAGGACAUGAUGAAGAACUGAUAUCACAUUAUAGAAGAGAAUGUUUACUAAAAUUAAAUGAGCAAGCUGCAGAACUGUUUGAAUCUGGAGAGGAUAGAGAAGUAAACAAUGGUCUGAUUAUCAUGAAUGAAUUUAUUGUCCCGUUUUUGCCCCUGUUAUUGGUGGAUGAAAUGGAAGAGAAAGACAUACUUGCUGUAGAAGAUAUGAGAAAUCGAUGGUGUUCCUAUCUUGGACAAGAAAUGGAAUCAAACCUCCAAGAGAAGCUGACAGAUUUUCUGCCAAAGCUGCUCGAUUGUUCUACGGAGGUUAAAGGUUUCCAUGAGCCGCCUAAGUUACCUCCGUACUCCACACAUGAACUCUGUGAGCGAUUUACCCGAAUCAUGCUGUCCCUCAGUCGAACUCCUGCUGAUGGAAGAUAAACUGCACAUACU